rnacentral:rRNA from 1 species
UACGAAGGGGGCUAGCGUUGUUCGGAUUUACUGGGCGUAAAGCGCACGUAGGCGGACUAUUAAGUCAGGGGUGAAAUCCCGGGGCUCAACCCCGGAACUGCCUUUGAUACUGGUAGUCUUGAGUUCGAGAGAGGUGAGUGGAAUUCCGAGUGUAGAGGUGAAAUUCGUAGAUAUUCGGAGGAACACCAGUGGCGAAGGCGGCUCACUGGCUCGAUACUGACGCGGAGGUGCGAAAGCGUGGGGAGCAAACAGG